UGUGUUGCAGCUCAGUGGCAGAGCGCUCGCCUGGCAUGUGUGAGGCACUGGGUUCAAUCCUCAGCACCACAU
rfam:Ictidomys tridecemlineatus contig079477, whole genome shotgun sequence.